CUUCCGGUCCGGCAGCUAGCUGAAAACUGCUCCUCUGGGUUUGGUAUCUUUAGGGCAAACUAACCUGGAGAUAAUCCAGGAUAAGGAGACAAGAUCGACUCAUGAAGAAAUAACAGAGAUCCAAACAGCAACCCAGAAAAAUCAGUGUGGAAAGAUUGACAAGUAGCAUCAGGAAGAGUCAGAUGAUAAUACAUAAGAUCCUUAUAACCAGAUAUAUAGAAAUGAUAUGAAACACAUGAUAGGAAGAAGAGCUACUAACCUUCUGGGGGAAGAAAGAUUUAUAUGAAACAGGUAAGAACUUGCAAUGCAAAACAAGCAGCUGCGCCAGGUUCCUGGGAACAUACCUUCCAACCACGAUAGACUGUAUUCCCUUCAAGUCUAAGCCAAAGGAAAUCAUGUUAAGUUGCUUCUUGUUGACCACAACAGUGAGAAAAUUUUUAUCACUCAGAAAAGAAUUUGCAAGUCCUCCCAUAAAUAACACCCUCAUGAGUCUACUCUGUUGGCAUUGAAUAUACGUGGACAUGUUUGAAUGCAGACUGCCUGGAUCCCACCACUGUCUCAGCCCCCCAAAUAACACAGGAGACACUAUAUUAAUUAAGGCUGUUGCUAUGGCUUCUUAUCUGCCACGCCUGCUGUGCCUCCUGUGACCGAGAAUCUGUGGAUGGUGUCGGGAUUGAUGACACAGAGACCAGUCGGUGGUGAAAGAAGGCUUCUUUUUAUUCUUACCCAGGCUGGUUAUAUGC